UCCCCCCCACCCAAAGACCUCCAAAUUCCUAAAUCCCUGUACGCCACUACUCAUGCCCUAAAUAUCUCUUCCCCUUCCAGCUCGCACGCCGCCGCCAUUCUCGAUCUACGGCCGUUGUCCUCCUGCCUCUCCACCACCGGCCUUGCUUCCGCCCCGAUCUGCUUUUCCGAUGUGCCGCCUGGCCACCUCCCCCAUGCGCUCGACCGUCGCCAUGCCUUCGUAGGCACCGACCGCCGCCGCCCCAGGAGCUCGACGCCUGCCCCGCCGUUCCUCCCCCCCCCCCCGCCAAGGUGGUCCUUUGCCAUCCCCUCUGGUGAGCACUUCCAUCUCCCUUCACCAGCCCCACCCCGACCCCCAAAUCCCCUCGGCCACACCACACCAGCACAGACACCCCAAAUCCCUCUCUUCCACUUCCACCACGCACGCUGCCGCCGCCUAGAUCUCUGACCGUCGUCCUCCUGCCUCUCUACCGCCGACCCGCUAGCUGCUCCUGCAGUCCUGCUCCAGUCUGAGGUACGUUGGUCGUCGAGUCCUCCCUAGAUCCAGUACAGUUAAUUGAAUCCCUAAACUGUGAGAUGUGCCCUGGGGAGGGAGGGGAGGUGCAGGACGCUAAGGGCAUUGCCGCAUGGGGCUGGAUCUGAGGAGCUGCAAGAGGAUUGAGGCGGGUCUCCUCUUUGAACCCGAUGAACUACAGUGUGGCGGCUGUUUCCCUGUUUUGAUUAAUAACAAUGAAGGUGACAAGCAUUUCGUUUUCUCUUUUCUCUGUUGUCUUGUUUGCUUCAAUUUUUUACGCCCUCCGUCUAACAAAGGAUGCCUCAACUUUGAUUAAAUUUGAAUGCAUCUAUACACUAGAUACAUUCAAAUUUCAGCAAACUUGAGACAUCCUUUGUUGGACGGAGGGAGUAUUUAUUCUGCGAGAAAACCUUCCUUUAAUAAAAAACAUUUAUUAGUGCUGACAUGCUAAAAACAUUUUUUGUUUACAUGAUAAAGUGAUUCAGAACAGAUGGUUCACUCUUUUGUUGUUUGUCUGUCUUCUAUUGUACAAGUAUAAACGUGAUUCAGAACAGCAGGACCAACCUUACAGGCACAAGCCACCCGAAUUCCAGAAGGUAAUAGACAUGAUAAAAGUGUUAGUGCUCCUUGUCUCCUUGAAAUAUAUUUGGAAUUGGAACUGCAUGUUUUGGAGGCCAUCUAUAGAUUGUGCAAGACAACUACCCCCUCUGAUUAUAUAAAUGCAAUAGUAGGACGGUGGUUACAUUGAUGCUGAGAGAAGUUGAAUUUCACUCUCUAAAUGAAUCUAAAUAUGAUUCUGUCUGUUUAUGGAUGAUUACUUUAAAUUUGCUUGCUGCUUAUGUGUAGCUUCAAUUAUAUAUAAUGUAUUACUCUAGUUCGCUCUCCUUUGCUGUUUAUAUUUAUUAUCUAGGCUUUGAUCAGGGUUCAGAGCCUUGAUCAUGUCAACUAGGAAUCGAAAGUAAAUCCAUCAUAUUUAUCCAAUAAAUGUUUCUGUAGAGAUUCUUUGCCAGCUGCACAAGCAUUUAUAAUUCAGCAAUAUUUAUUUUCCGUAAGAAUACAUGCUAGUGUAGCACAGACUUGAUUGCUUUUUGGGUUAGUGACUUGUUUACAUGCUUGGUAGGGUAAAUGUACAGCAAAGAAAGGGUAAGCUGAAUCUUGCUAAGUCCGAAAAAGAAGCAGUUGCCAUACAUACGAUGAGUCCUUUAUGGAGAGAGACCAAAUGCUAGUGUCUCAGGAAAUACACGAGAGAACAUAGUAGCCGGUGGUUCGCAUCAAUUAGAUGAUUGCACAAUGAAGUAAAUUUGUUGAUGUUGGAGAUGCACCUUGUAGCUAUCAUUUUGUAAAACUGGAUAAGUGGUGUGUCUUGUGCACUCAACCAAGAUCUUUCAUGCACUUAUCAUCUUUAACUUCUAUGGGUAGCAGUGAACUUAUAAGAUUCAUGCACUAUUUGUAAAUGUGAUGAAUUAAUGUAUCAAGUACAGUUAAUUUAAUAUCAUGCGUGUUGUUAAUUGGUGGAUUUUGGAA